UACGGAGGGGGCGAGCGUUGUUCGGAGUUACUGGGCGUAAAGCGCACGUAGGCGGUGCGGUAAGUCAGGGGUUAAAGGCUGCAGCUCAACUGCAGUAAGGCCUUUGAUACUAUCGUGCUAGAGUACCAGAGAGGAUGGCGGAAUUCCCGGUGUAGCGGUGAAAUGCGUAGAUAUCGGGAGGAAGGCCGGUGGCGAAGGCGGCCUCCUGGGCCUGCACUGACGCUGAGGCGCGAAAGCGUGGGGAGCAAACAGG
rnacentral:rRNA from 1 species